GAGCGGGCAGCCGCCCAGGAGCCUGUGGAGCUCUUUCUUAAGGCUCCAGAACUCGCCGUCCAGGUGAGUGGAGGCCACGUCUAUCAGUUUCCUGGGGCUGUGUGGCAAAUAACCACAAACUGAGUGGCUGAAAACAACACAAAUGUUCUGGAGGUCAGAAGCCAAACAUGGAUCUUACAGGACUGAAAUCAAGAUGCCAAUAGACAGAAGAGCUCCCAUUGUGUGCCUGCACAGGUUCCUAAAGCUGCCAGUUGGAAAGGACAUAUGUACCUUCCACUCAUGAUCUGUUGGCCAAUGCAGUUCACUCCUGACUCUAUGGGAGAAGGAAAGUACCCAGAAAGCCAAUACCCAAAAUAAUCUGCAUAAAUACACUCUCCACUCCUCAAAGGAGGCAACCAAAUUUCCAUACUGUCACAAAAUCAGGCCAAGACUAGUGGAGGUUGUACAGUGGUCUCUCCAUCAAGUCAGGCAUGGUUCCUCUGGAUUCAAAGACUUAUAAGCUAAAAACAUGUUACUAAGUGUAUGCAGCUUGAGUGAGAAAAAAAACCUUUGUUGUUAGAAGCCACCGGGAUUUUUUUGAGUGUUGUUUGUUACCCAAGUAUAACCUAGUCUAUCCUAGAAGCUACUGGAAGAAUGUUGCUGCUGAAAUGAAAAAAAAAAAAAAAAAAAAGUGCACUGGCUUAGGAAUUGGGGAAUUGGAAGGGACUGUGAGGAUGCUGUUUACCAAAACCAAACAGAAGGGAGUUCAUGUCAGUAAGUGGCAAAUGGGCACCCAGGCAGCUCAGUCAGUUAAGCAACUGCUUUUGACUCCGGUCAUGAUCUCAGG